ACGGCCAGAGAUGGUCGCCCCCUUGUGGUCGGUGUACAGGUGGUGCAUGGUUGUCGUCAGCUCGUGUCGUGAGAUGUUGGGUUAAGUCCCGCAACGAGCGCAACCCUUAUUGUCAGUUGCCAGCAUUUAGUUGGGCACUCUGGCGAGACUGCCGGUGACAAACCGGAGGAAGGUGGGGAUGACGUCAAAUCAUCAUGCCCCUUAUGACCUGGGCUACACACGUGCUACAAUGGACGGUACAACGAGUCGCGAAACCGCGAGGUCAAGCUAAUCUCUUAAAGCCGUUCUCAGUUCGGAUUGUAGGCUGCAACUCGCCUACAUGAAGUUGGAAUCGCUAGUAAUCGUGGAUCAGCAUGCCACGGUGAAUACGUUCCCGGGUCUUGUACACACCGGAAUCG
rnacentral:rRNA from 1 species